UAGGGAAUCUUCGGCAAUGGACGAAAGUCUGACCGAGCAACGCCGCGUGAGUGAAGAAGGUUUUCGGAUCGUAAAACUCUGUUGUUAGAGAAGAACAAGGACGUUAGUAACUGAACGUCCCCUGACGGUAUCUAACCAGAAAGCCACGGCUAACUACGUGCCAGCAGCCGCGGUAAUACGUAGGUGGCAAGCGUUGUCCGGAUUUAUUGGGCGUAAAGCGAGCGCAGGCGGUUUCUUAAGUCUGAUGUGAAAGCCCCCGGCUCAACCGUGGAGGGUCAUUGGAAACUGGGAGGCUUGAGUGCAGAAGAGGAGAGUGGAAUUCCAUGUGUAGCGGUGAAAUGCGUAGCUAUAUGGAGGAACACCAGUGGCGAAGGCGGCUCUCUGGUCUGUAACUGACGCUGAGGCUCGAAAGCGUGGGGAGCAAACAGG
rnacentral:rRNA from 1 species